rnacentral:rRNA from 1 species
UACGUAGGGUGCGAGCGUUGUCCGGAAUUAUUGGGCGUAAAGAGCUCGUAGGCGGUCUGUCGCGUCGGUCGUGAAAACUUGGGGCUUAACCCUGAGCUUGCGGUCGAUACGGGCAUGACUGGAGUUCGGUAGGGGAGACUGGAAUUCCUGGUGUAGCGGUGAAAUGCGCAGAUAUCAGGAGGAACACCGGUGGCGAAGGCGGGUCUCUGGGCCGAUACUGACGCUGAGGAGCGAAAGCGUGGGGAGCGAACGGG